AGAUUGUCAUUCUACAAGUUCUUUAUAACAAACUUUGUCAUUAUUUGCUUUCUCUCUUACAACACAUGUUCAUCUUUCAUUAAUACAUGUAUAAUCUUAAUCCAUAACAAAAAUUAUAAAUCUAUCAAUAGAAUUGAUUUCUCUAAACAAAUAUAACUGAGAGUUGUCCGGUAAUAUUUAACAAAGAUUUAUCUAAUGAUAUAUUAGUUGAAGGAUCUAUAAAUUAUGCUUUAUUGUAU
rnacentral:lncRNA from 1 species